GAUGAACGCUGGCGGCGUGCCUAAUACAUGCAAGUCGAGCGAACGGACGAGAAGCUUGCUUCUCUGAUGUUAGCGGCGGACGGGUGAGUAACACGUGGAUAACCUACCUAUAAGACUGGGAUAACUUCGGGAAACCGGAGCUAAUACCGGAUAAUAUUUUGAACCGCAUGGUUCAAAAGUGAAAGACGGUCUUGCUGUCACUUAUAGAUGGAUCCGCGCUGCAUUAGCUAGUUGGUAAGGUAACGGCUUACCAAGGCAACGAUGCAUAGCCGACCUGAGAGGGUGAUCGGCCACACUGGAACUGAGACACGGUCCAGACUCCUAUGGGAGGCAGCAGUAGGGAAUCUUCCGCAAUGGGCGAAAGCCUGACGGAGCAACGCCGCGUGAGUGAUGAAGGUCUUCGGAUCGUAAAACUCUGUUAUUAGGGAAGAACAUAUGUGUAAGUAACUGUGCACAUCUUGACGGUACCUAAUCAGAAAGCCACGGCUAACUACGUGCCAGCAGCCGCGGUAAUACGUAGGUGGCAAGCGUUAUCCGGAAUUAUUGGGCGUAAAGCGCGCGUAGGCGGUUUUUUAAGUCUGAUGUGAAAGCCCACGGCUCAACCGUGGAGGGUCAUUGGAAACUGGAAAACUUGAGUGCAGAAGAGGAAAGUGGAAUUCCAUGUGUAGCGGUGAAAUGCGCAGAGAUAUGGAGGAACACCAGUGGCGAAGGCGACUUUCUGGUCUGUAACUGACGCUGAUGUGCGAAAGCGUGGGGAUCAAACAGGAUUAGAUACCCUGGUAGUCCACGCCGUAAACGAUGAGUGCUAAGUGUUAGGGGGUUUCCGCCCCUUAGUGCUGCAGCUAACGCAUUAAGCACUCCGCCUGGGGAGUACGACCGCAAGGUUGAAACUCAAAGGAAUUGACGGGGACCCGCACAAGCGGUGGAGCAUGUGGUUUAAUUCGAAGCAACGCGAAGAACCUUACCAAAUCUUGACAUCCUUUGACAACUCUAGAGAUAGAGCCUUCCCCUUCGGGGGACAAAGUGACAGGUGGUGCAUGGUUGUCGUCAGCUCGUGUCGUGAGAUGUUGGGUUAAGUCCCGCAACGAGCGCAACCCUUAAGCUUAGUUGCCAUCAUUAAGUUGGGCACUCUAAGUUGACUGCCGGUGACAAACCGGAGGAAGGUGGGGAUGACGUCAAAUCAUCAUGCCCCUUAUGAUUUGGGCUACACACGUGCUACAAUGGACAAUACAAAGGGCAGCGAAACCGCGAGGUCAAGCAAAUCCCAUAAAGUUGUUCUCAGUUCGGAUUGUAGUCUGCAACUCGACUACAUGAAGCUGGAAUCGCUAGUAAUCGUAGAUCAGCAUGCUACGGUGAAUACGUUCCCGGGUCU
rnacentral:rRNA from 1 species